rnacentral:tRNA from 2 species
GGGCGCGUAGCUCAGCGGGAGAGCACUCCCUUCACACGGGAGGGGUCACAGGUUCAAUCCCUGUCGCGCCCACC